rnacentral:misc_RNA from 1 species
GAAUUGCGAUAAGUAAUGUGAAUUGCAGAAUUCAGUGAAUCAUCAAAUCUUUGAACGCACAUUGCGCUUUCUGGUAUUCCGGAAAGCAUGCCUGUUUGAGAAUCGAUCAACUCUCAUCAAAACAUUUGGUUUCUUUUUGGAUGUUGAAAUUUAUUUUUCAGUGUUUGAAUCGAUAAUCGAUAAUUUUGGUGGAUUUGGGUUAUUUGCAAUUUUUUUUUGCAA